UACAGGAGGUCUCAAGCGUUGUUCGGAUUCAUUGGGCGUAAAGGGUGCGUAGGCGGCGCGGUAAGUCGGGUGUGAAAUCUCGGGGCUUAACUCCGAAACUGCAUUCGAUACUGCCGUGCUUGAGGACUGGAGAGGAGACUGGAAUUUACGGUGUAGCGGUGAAAUGCGUAGAUAUCGUAAGGAAGACCAGUGGCGAAGGCGGGUCUCGUGGGACGGUACUGGACGCUGGAGAACGCGAAAGCGUGGGGAGCGAACAGG
rnacentral:rRNA from 1 species